GAGACCUUACCUGUCAUGGUCUUAUUCGACCUCUCAUCUAUGACUCUCUCCUUCGUCGGCUUGUCCUUCUCCGCUCCGUUCGUUGCAAGCGUUCGACCGCUCCGUUCGUAGCCUUGUCCUCCUCCGCUCCGUAGGCGAAAUCAAUCGUUUUCUUCCUCCUCCGCUUCGUUCGUUGCAAGCUCGAGUCCUCCGCUCCGAUCAAACCUCCCGAGUUGAUGCGUCUCCACGCAGUCUGCUUCCAUGAAUUGAAGACUGCGGUGGUGUUGCUGGGAGAUACGGAGAUUCAUUUAGUGGCGAUGCCGAGCAAGGAGAAGAAGUUCCCUUGUUUCUAGUGUUUCUCAGUCUCUUUAGGUCUUUAUGAUUUCUUAUUCGGAUCAUUCCUGAGGUUAGUAGACAAUCGAGAGCGCUUUGUUCAUCCUCUGAACGAUUUUGAGUGUUUGUGAUAUAGGAUUCUAUUAGAGAGAUUGUUUAUGAGUAUAACGUUUACGAGCAUAUGGUGAUUACUAAGAUCAAAGGUCUGUUUCUACACUCAGUGCUUUGAUUUGCUCUCGUUGUUGUUAUCUUAACGUCAUGUGAUGAUUCAAUGUUUGUAUGCAGAUGGUGUAAACGUUGCUGCAUCUCAUCCUCUAAUAUCAGGCGGUUUAGCCUUUGGUGUUGGAGUCUUUGCUCUGAAAAGUGUUCUGAAGUUUAGAUGUGGUUGUAAAGUAAGUAAGCUUUAACAUGUUGUCUUGGUCUGUGCUGGAAUGAUGUUGCAAACCCAACAUCUUUUGCUUUUUCGGUUGUUUUUUGUGAAGAACACUUGGUUUAACAAUGAAUAUAACCCAACGUUAUGCAUGGCUUGCUCUGAGUUUAACCCAACGUCUAUU